rnacentral:rRNA from 1 species
CAUGCAGUCGCACGGUCAGGGGUAACUCUGGCAGUGGCGGACGGGUGAGUAACGCGUAGGUAUCUAUCCUUGGGUGGGGGACAACCGUGGGAAACUACGGCUAAUACCGCAUGAUCCCUGAGGGGCAAAGGCGCAAGUCGCCUGGGGAGGAGCCUGCGUCCGAUUAGCUAGUUGGUGGGGUAAAGGCCUACCAAGGCUACGAUCGGUAGCUGGUCUGAGAGGAUGAUCAGCCACACUGGGACUGAGACACGGCCCAGACUCCUACGGGAGGCAGCAGUGGGGAAUAUUGGACAAUGGGCGCAAGCCUGAUCCAGCAAUGCCGCGUGGGUGAAGAAGGUCUUCGGAUCGUAAAGCCCUUUCGGCGGGGACGAUGAUGACGGUACCCGCAGAAGAAGCCCCGGCUAACUUCGUGCCAGCAGCCGCGGUAAUACGAAGGGGGCUAGCGUUGCUCGGAAUGACUGGGCGUAAAGGGCGCGUAGGCGGUUGAUGUAGUCAGGCGUGAAAUUCCAGGGCUUAACCUGGGGGCUGCGUUUGAUACGCAUUGACUUGAGUGGGGAAGAGGGUCGUGGAAUUCCCAGUGUAGAGGUGAAAUUCGUAGAUAUUGGGAAGAACACCGGUGGCGAAGGCGGCGACCUGG